rnacentral:rRNA from 1 species
AUACGGAGGGUGCAAGCGUUGUCCGGAUUUAUUGGGUUUAAAGGGUGCGUAGGUGGUUUUUUAAGUCAGUGGUGAAAGCCUACAGCUUAACUGUAGAGGUGCCAUUGAAACUGGAAAACUUGAGUAUGGACGAGGUAGGCGGAAUUUGUGGUGUAGCGGUGAAAUGCAUAGAUACCACAAAGAACACCGAUAGCGAAGGCAGCUUACUAGGCCAUAACUGACACUGAGGCACGAAAGUGUGGGGAGCGAACAGGAUUAGAAACCCUAGUAGUCC